rnacentral:lncRNA from 1 species
UUUCCUUCACGGGCCGACUCAUCGGGCCCAAACCACCUACACACCCUCAAGGCCCAACCUCACUCCGGCCCGCCCACCCUGUUAACUUUGCUGAGGGCCCUGACUCGUAGGCCUUUUGGGCCCUAUUUCCUCUCUUCCGCAAGCCCAACCAAGCUGUGAUCAGAUCCAAUUGGAGCCGUUUCGAGUGUCCUUCGGCUGCAACCACGCCCCGAUCGUCGCCCCAGUCCACGAGUACACGAUUCUGAUUGACUGCAUCCGCCAUAGGUAACAGGUUCUUUUUUCUUUUGGGCUUGUUUAUCUAAUUAUGUUCUAGUUCUCUUGCAUGACAGUCCUAUUUUAAAACUUAUUUUCUUGUCAAACCGCAAAACCUAGAACAUUUACCACCACACCCAUCCUACCCACCAUUUAAAUCUAAAUAUUAAAUUAGCACACUUAGCGACAGGACAGUUCUCGAUAUCCAUCGAUCAGAUUACUUUCGGAUUUUG